AUCAGAAAAUAAGAAGGUCAUUCAUUGGCCAAUGAGAAAUUGGACCUUCAUUGUUUUGCUGAGGGCUGUGUUACAACUCUACAGCUCUGGAUUGACUUGGUAAAGCACCGUUUGCAAGACUAAAACAUAAAAUGUACCUUCUUCAGAGAGUAAAAGGACAAAGGUUGGCAGACAUCUGGGUGAUUCUUCUGGACCGGAUCGUUCCUAUCCAGUAUCACUGUGCCCACUCAGUAUCUUCAGGCAGCUGGUGGGCUGGCUGUGGCUGGCUCACUCAUAAAUGUCAUUCAUAAAGGAUACCUUGGAAAGCUUGGGUUACUGUUUAUGUGGUCUCACCCUCCAGCAUGCUGGCCUAGAUUUGUUCACAUGGUUUUGAAUUGUAAGAGAGAGAGUAGAAACACACAAAGCCUAUUGCAGUCAAUGCUAAGAAGGAGUAUACCACCACUUCCACUGCAUUUUGUUUGCCAAAGUCCAGUCCAAACUCAAAAAUAGGUAAACAUACUCUACUUCUUGGUGGCUUGGAACUGUUGCAAAGAGGGAAGGGAAGACUACAGGGCCAUAUUGGAUACUUUCUCAUAGAAAAAUUCAAGUUCACUAAUUUUUAAAAAGGUGCCAAAAAAAACACAAAAACCAAUGAAAGACAUUUUUGACGUUAUGUAAAAGGUUGAAACAAUG